CGCGUUGUCUAGCGAUCGGGACCUCCCUUCCAGCGACUGCAGCGGGAAAAGGGCUCAGGCUCUGAUAGUUGUGGCACCGAGAGCUGCCGGGGCUCCAGGCCAGUCGGGGAGGGCUGCGGGGUGGGAACCGGCGACGCGCCGAGCCCCUUAGCAUUCCGCCGGCGCGCCCGCCAUCGCCGCGUGCGCCCCCGCGCCCCGCUGUAAUUACCCCGAUUACCAAAUGAAUCUGGCGCUUUUGUGCUCGCCAGGCGGUGGGUGCGGGGAGGCAGUUCUAAUAGUUGUCAUUAAGGCCGCGGGAGGCGGGGCGCCGGGGGAGGGGGGUGGGGAGCGCGGGCUGGGAAGGCCGCCGCUCCCUCGCUGGCUCGCUCGCUCGCGGGCGGUCCCGGGCGGCGCGCAGGCCGCUGCUGGCUGCUGAGUAAUGAUUUUUUUUCUAAUUGGAGGCGAACAGCGGCCCUAAUGGAUGGAGCCGCUCUCGGCGCGCUCGCUGCGCCCGCCCCUCGAUCGAUACGGCUUGCUAACACCGCGGGCCCGAGCUCCCCGGCCCUUUGUGGUCCGAGAUACUGCAGGGGGCCCCCAAUCUCCCGCCCCCUCACCUUGAGCCACCUCGGCUUCGCUCGGUGUCUCGAAACUAACUCCCCAAACGCCCUCACGCACCACCCGCCAUCUCUGAACAUUCCAUUCCCUUACUCCUUCUGGGACCCCAGAGCUCCAGCUCCCCCUCUCCAUGCACUCUUCUGCCUUUCCUCAAUCGCCACUUCAGUGUACCCCACCUUCCUGGACACUCUAUCCUCUUCUGCCCUCCCACACGUCUGCCAGCUUAGCCAGGAAGAACUAGAGGGAUAAUGUAGGAAGCCUACUGGCCCUGAUUUCCCGCCCCCAUCCUCUCUUGGUCACCACACUCCCACCGACAGUCCUAGACCUGGAGGAAAGCCAGAAACCGGAAGCUGCCUCUGAGGGCUUGGGCAGACUGGUCCAGGAAGAGUUCGCUGAGUCUAAUCACAUCCCCAAGUUCUUUCCUUCCUGGGCCCUCUCGGGUUCCAAAGCCCAAACCCACUCUAACUCAGACCGUUCAGCCUUGUGGAGGGGCAGACACAGGCACCACAGGGCCCGCUCUGUUAGAAGACCCAGUGGUGUGUUUUGCUGGGAAACUAGAUAGGCCAGACAGAUCUUUGGAGGUGAAGGGUCAAACAAGCUUGUGGUUUCGCAGGUCCUGUUCCCAUACUGACACUAACAAGCUGGUGACCUUGGCCAAGGACUCAGCCUGGGAAACAGCGGUUUAUCCUGCACUUAGAGGAAGCUCAUCCAGUCCCAUAAGCUAGAUCCCUGGGAUACAUUUUUAAUAGCUAAGCCUGCUCAGUCUUCCCUGCAGGUUACAGACCUUUCCAGAUACGGGGGUGGGGGGGUCCCCUCCAUCAUCAGUUCACUUCUUCCUCCGCUCAUACACACCAGUUAUUUCCUGGCACAAUAAGUACUUGAUUGUUUGUGUAUUGCCAGGCUUUCCCCACUACUACAUAAUGUCUACAAUGUAUGGGAUUUUUAUCCAUCCUCUAUCCUCAGUGUCUAAGGCAGCCUGGAACACAGUAGGCACACAAUAAAGUGUUAAUUGCAUCAACAAAUGGAAGGAGUCUGCACUGGUGUAACUUCUUCCUUGAUUCCUGGGAGUACAUUUUUUUUUUCCAGAAUGUAGUCCCGGCCCUGUUUCUUCUGGUCUCUGCUUUUCCAUCCCCUGAAUGGGGAAGUCUUUUUCACCUCAACUUGAACUUCGGUGGCGAAGCCUGCCGAUAUAGUAGCUUGGGAAGCAGAGGAAGAGCUAUGGCAAGUUCUCUGAAGUGGGAGCUGUAGUACUUGUAUGCCAGUUUAGAAUCAUGAAGCAGAUCAGCACUCACUCAUAGCACCAGACAUGCUGACUUUCCAAAAGAACGCCAUAAGGAAGGAUUCGGAGCGGCUGUGUCAGCCACAGACACCCAUUCCUCAGACCAUCUAGAGAGAACUUCCCAGGAAAAGGGCAAGUAACUAACAACUUCCAGCUCUGAAGCCUAAAAGCUUUGUCUCAGCCUUUAGGUCAAGGUUCCUCAGUGCGUGUACGGAGCACAGUCCUUUGUGGCUAGCCAUUUCUUUACUGGGUAAGCUUUCCUGUUAUUUCCCACUCAUGUCCCUGAGACUUCCUUUCGUCUAAUUCCUGGAGGAUCCAAUUGACAUGGGCAGAGAAACUGACUCCUUGCACCAUAGUGAAUCCGCUCUGAAGCACUCUUAUCCAUGCACUGUCUCAUCUUCCCCCCUCCAAAAAGAUCCAGGUAAGAAUGGGGUCAUGGUUAAAUACCAAAUGAUUUGUAGCAGACAACUAGACCUUGAUGGACUCAAAGUCAGGCCUAAGUAUAUGUGACUACAAAAUUCAGGCUCUUGAUCUCUAGUGGUGACUCACUGGGGACUGGUUGAGAUGGCAAUGUCCUAAAGAUGGUGUCGAGGCACACAGAGGUGGAUGGCACUGGACCAGGAGACCCUAGAGUCCUUCAGAACUUACUAAUUCUGUCUCUGUAGCUUUGUAAGAUGCACAUGUACACGUGAAUGUCAUGCAAACCCCAUGUUAGGAAAAAAGAGAUUGAGAUUUCAAUUUGGUGUCCAGUGGAGUGACCUCAGGCAAAAGACCUGAUUUCUCCAAACACCCUAGUUUCCACAGCAACCGGAACAACCUGAUUCCCCUGAUGAGCUAGUGCCCUGGCCACUAAAUGUCCCUCUCCAUGACAGCCUCAUCCCCUAUCAAUGGGAUGCCUACUCCAGAUGCCCAAAGAAAGAGAUGGGUUUUGUCCUCUGGCUCUCUAGAUGACUUGAGUAUAUACUCUUGGUUGAAGAAACUGGUGUUGGCAGCCCGAGGACCUCAAAUAGAAUACAUAAAGAAGACCUAGGUAAACAGCUCUGAUUUUCCUGGCUGCUUCUGGAGAAGCUCUGGGUCAGAGGCAAGCUGAGGGUAGAGGAGACCUACCUCUCCUAGCUACCACAACAGGCAGUUACCCUGCAAAGGAUCCAUCUUGGCCCUGUUGGGUAGAGGGUGCAGUAGUUGACAGUGACCUCUUAACUGUCUGCCGAGGCCCAUUACCCUCAGAUUACUUUCCUUACCUAAUGCCACCCCCCUCAACUUUGCCCUGCCGACUCAAGACCUUUUACCUUUUCCUUCGUCGGGGGGGGGGGCAUGUCUAAAGAAAAAAGGAAAACACAGAACUCCAGGAAUUGCUGUUUGACCUGAGGACACAAAAAACUCAGCCAAGGUGAGAUUGACCCCCAAUGCCUUGGGUGAACACCUCAACCACGUAAGUGGCCUUUUAUCAUACCCGUGGCUCAUUAGGGUUCUGGGUCCAAGCCAAGGAAUUGCCAAGGACAAGACAGACAGCACGUGCUUGCAAACUCAGCAGUGCUGGCUUCCCUCUGAGGCCUUUCUUACUGUGGGAGCCAGGGAGGAGUGAGCCAGGAGCAAGCUAGAAGUGGGGGUGAGUUGCGCUGAGCUAGAGCUGCGCCUGACAAGUGACACUUUGACGAGAGACACGAUGACGAGUCCCAGGGGAGGCUGUGGAGUCUGGUUCCUGCAGACAGUGUUUCCCCUAGGGCAGUCUCUUUCGUGCCUGAGAGUGCUCUGUGUGUGCGUGUGUGUGUGUGUGUGUGUGUGUGUGUGUGUGUGUGUGUGUACGUAUGAAGCUGGCUUCUCUAAGUAAGAUUGAGCUCUACAGCAAGCUUCACAGAGGAGCCCCGAAAUAGUGUGUGUGUGUGUGUGUGUGUGUGUGUGUGUGUGUGUGUGUGUGUGUGUGUAUGUUGUCCUUGGACAUCAAGAGCCUGCAUAGCAAGCCAGCCACUUGCCCUUGAAUUUAAGAGGUCCCUCCUGGAAUUGCUCUGUCCUCCUCCUCCUUGGUCCAAAGGUUGGUAAGGGAGAGAAGAACAGCCCCCAGGCUGCUGACUUGUCUGUUUUAGUCUCAAGCCACAAGGAACACAACAAAAUGCAGCCUGUCUUUCCAGAGGGCCUGCAGUCUAGGUCCUGUCAACUAUAAAAUGGUGUUCAUUCUGAAGAACCAAAACAACACACGAAGUCUUUGGAAGGAGGCAGCAAGUGCAUAUGAAAAUGUCUAAGCCAGCAGAAGGCCUCUGAGGUGGUGGACUUCUGUCUUGAGCAGGACUUGUGGAGGGUGUCAACAGUUUUCCUCAGGGCACUGGCAGGGGACUUGGGGAGGUAGAUGGAGUGAAUGUAGAAGAGAACAAGCAAUUAAACAAGCACAGGGUAGAACUGUGUUUCUGCUAUGUGGCCCUCCCAGGUCCCCUGUCAGAAGCUAAUAAGCAGCCUCCAUUUUUUCCUUCAUGGUCUAAGAUGAGUACACCAAGGCAAUUCGAAUCAAUCCCUCUCUAUGCUACUUUUCUUGUUGCUGUGACAAAAUACAUGACAGAAGCGACUUAAGGGAGGGGAGGUUGGGUUUGAGUCACUGCUUCAUGUAUUUGGGUCCGUUACAAAGGAGAAGGCAUGCCACAGGUCUUGGUGACUGGAACAUUAGACAGACACCCUUUUAUAGUGUUGGGCCAGGAAGCAGAGAGAGCUAGGAAGUAGGGUUCAUCUAUGUCUUCAAAGGCCUUCUUCCCCUAAUGACCAAUUUCCAGCCUGGCCCCACUUCCCAAAGACUCCCAACAGUCGUGGCCAAAUGAUUAAGAUAAAAGCCUGUGGAGACGUUUCAGAUGGAAACCAUGACACCCUGUUAGAUGACAGUACAUGUCUCUGGAUCCUCACCUUUGCUGAACCAAAGCAUGCUGUGUAGUGUACUGUCCCUGGAACCUGCAAGGACUCCUCCACCAAUGACCAAGCCUUUCACAUACAUGAAGCUGUGCUGUGCUACCCAGUGCUGCCUAAGAAUGAAGUGACUGAAAGCAACCAUUGCUUUUUGCUCAAGAUGUUUGAGUCAGUUCUUCUCCACCUGGCAGCUACAACCCAUGCCACAGGAUGGCUAGAUGUUCCUACAUUCUAUCUCACAGACCCAGGGUCCAAAUUUCCGAAGCUCCAUGGAAACACUUCCAAUGUGUCCUUAUUGGAGAAGUCAAACCCAAAGGCCAAUCUGGGCUCUAAAAGAGAAGAGAUCAUGUUUGUUUGUUUGUUUGUUUGUUUGUUUGUUUGUUUGUUGUUCUAACAUGUAUGACUUUUGCCUCUAUGUGUAUAAGUACACCAAAUGCAUUCCUUGUAAUCUCAGAGGUCAGAAGAGGAUGUCAUGUCCCCUGAAACUGGAGUUAUGGAUGGCUGUGAGCCACCAGGAGGGUGCUGGAAACCAAACCCUCAAGAGCAGCACCCUGGCUGCUGUAUCAAAGGCAUGAAGCCAAGAACUCUCCAUCUACUCAACAGCUCUACGUGUUCAAUUCCCUUGACCAGACUCACAGAGUCAGCAAACAGCAAAUGAGGGUGUAAAUUCAGCAGUUGGGCUCCAGAACCUUCCAGAUGGGCCACCUGGGUGAACUGCUCCCUGGUGACCUCAGUCACCAGAAGAAUUUAGGCUUCAAGCCAAUGAGAACACUACUUAUUCAAAGAAAA